UUUAACUGAGCGUUCAGUUACUUGACGUAGACCCGAAACCGGGCGACCUACCCAUGAGCAGGAUGAAGCGAAAGUAAAAUUUCGUGGAGGUCCGAACCCACGAGCGUUGAAAAGCUCGGGGAUGACUUGUGGGUAGCGGUGAAAUUCCAAUCGAGCCCGGAGAUAGCUGGUUCUCCCCGAAAUAGCUUUAGGGCUAGCCUCAAGGUGAGAGAUACGGAGGUAGAGCACUGAAUGUCCUAGGGGGUAUUGCACCUACCGAAGACUAUCAAACUCCGAAUGCCGUCAUCUUAUACUUGGGAGUCAGACUGUGGGUGAUAAGAUUCAUAGUCGAAAGGGCAACAGCCCAGAUCGUCAGCUAAGGUCCCUAAAUGUAAGUUAAGUGGUAAAGGAUGUGGGAUUGCACAGACAACCAGGAUGUUGGCUUAGAAGCAGCCACUCAUUCAAAGAGUGCGUAAUAGCUCACUGGUCGAGUGAUCCUGCGCCGAAGAUUUCCGGGGCUAAAACUUACUACCGAAGCUACGGCAUCAGUAAUGAUGGGUAGGGGAGCUUCCCAUACGGGUUGAAGCAUGACCGUAAGGACAUGUGGACAGUAUGGGAGUGAGAAUGUUGGCAUGAGUAGCGAGAUGUGGGUGAGAAUCCCACAGGCCGUAAACCCAAGGUUUCCAGGGGAAGGUUCGUCCGCCCUGGGUUAGUCGGGACCUAAGCUGAGGCCGAAAGGCGUAGGUGAUGGACAACAGGUUGAUAUUCCUGUACUACCGAUAACCGUUUGAGAGAAGGGAUGACACAGUAGGAUAAGCUAAGCACACUGUUGGUUAUGUGUGCCCAAGCAUUGAGGCAGUCAAAGUAGGCAAAUCCGCUUUGAUAAUGCUGGGAUGUGAUGGGGAGCGAAAUUUAGUAGCGAAGUAGCUGAUUUCACACUGUCAAGAAAAGUCUCUAUCGAGGUUAAAGGUACCCGUACCGCAAACCGACACAGGUGGGUGAGGAGAGUAUCCUAAGGCCAGCGAGAGAACUGUUGUUAAGGAACUCGGCAAAAUGACCCCGUAACUUAGGGAUAAGGGGUGCCACCAUCAGGUGGCCGCAGAGAAUAGGCCCAAGCGACUGUUUACCAAAAACAUAGGUUUCUGCUAAGUCGCAAGACGAUGUAUAGGAGCUGACGCCUGC
rnacentral:rRNA from 1 species